GGGGGAUGUUGAAAUCUCCGCCUUAGGUUACAGGGGAUCAGUGUGAACCAAUUCAUUAUGCAAGUUAUCUAGUCAAAUGGGAGGUUUAUACUGUAAAGUGUGUGUGUGUGUGUGUGUGUGUGUGUGUGUGUACACAUAAUUUCUACCCCA